GGAGCGCGACGCUCUCCCCAAGGACGAAGCCAUGCAUGCCCGCUCACCCGGGACGCGGCGGACGGCUCAGGACAACGGUUGCACCCCCCGCGGCGGUCCCUGCUAGCCGGACACCGCUGGCAACCCGGCGCCAAGACGUGCGCGCAAGGGCGGGCGCCCGCGGGCGAGCAGCGUGACGCAGCGACGGCCCGCCCGGGCUUCCGGGGCAUCACCCGGUCGGCGCGGUCGCGGCGCGCCGAGGGCCCGACGCCUGGC
rnacentral:rRNA from 1 species